rnacentral:rRNA from 1 species
AUGGCAAGCCCACACCACAUCGCGAUGGAGCUCGUCGGUCCCAAGCCCGGCGGAUCCUCCUCCGCGGUCGCCGUCCACCACAUGUUCGUCGUCUUCGUCGACGGCGUCGAGACGGACAUCCACGAGGGCACGCUCCACGGCAGUCCCGGCAAGGUCACCGUCACCAGCCCCGGGAACCUCUCCGCCGACGGCCUCCGGAGCGUCGUCGUGCGCGGCGGGGGAGGGGGCGCCGUCGUGUUCACCCUGUGCGGCGACGCGGCCGCCGAGGGCGUGGGGUCCGCGUCCUUCGUCCAGUGCGGCGCGACGCGCGUCGACGGCGCGCGGGAGGUGUCGGUCUCGCGGUGCCGGUCCCUGGACGCGGAGCAGGCCGGCAAGGUGACGGUCGAGAGGUGCCGGGAGGCGCGGCUCCGAGGCGGCGGCCUCCUCCGCGCGACCCGCUGCAGGCGGGCGGACGUCGAGAGCUUCGGCGAGGUCCGCCUGGCGCGCUGCAAGGGGGUGCGCGCCGACUGGUGCGGCAGCUUGGAGGUCCAGAUGUGCAGGGCCGUCGACGCCAGCCGGUGCGGCGCCGUGAGCGGCGACCGGUGCCGCCGCGUGAACGUCGCCGGCUGCGGCAGCGUCGCCGUGACCCACGCCGUGGUUAAGACGGUGGAGGAAGAGCAGCUGCAGUCGCAGCAAACCGCGUCUCCGCAGUCCAGUGGAAGUGAGUAA